rnacentral:rRNA from 1 species
GACGAACGCUGGCGGCGUGCUUAACACAUGCAAGUCGAACGGAAAGGCCCUGCUUUUGUGGGGUGCUCGAGUGGCGAACGGGUGAGUAACACGUGAGUAACCUGCCCUUGACUUUGGGAUAACUUCAGGAAACUGGGGCUAAUACCGGAUAGGAGCUCCUGCUGCAUGGUGGGGGUUGGAAAGUUUCGGCGGUUGGGGAUGGACUCGCGGCUUAUCAGCUUGUUGGUGGGGUAGUGGCUUACCGAGGCUUUGACGGGUAGCCGGCCUGAGAGGGUGACCGGCCACAUUGGGACUGAGAUACGGCCCAGACUCCUACGGGAGGCAGCAGUGGGGAAUAGUGCACAAUGGGCGGAAGCCUGAUGCAGCAACGCCGCGUGCGGGAUGACGGCCUUCGGGUUGUAAACCGCUUUCGCCUGUGACGAAGCGUGAGUGACGGUAAUGGGUAAAGAAGCACCGGCUAACUACGUG